UCCGGUUUGUCACCGGCGGUCUCCUUAGAGUUCCCACCAUUACGUGCUGGCAACUAAGGACAAGGGUUGCGCUCGUUGCGGGACUUAACCCAACAUCUCACGACACGAGCUGACGACAGCCAUGCAGCACCUGUGCACGAACUCCGAAGAGGGGCCGAUGUUUCCACCGGCUUUCUCGUGCAUGUCAAGCCCAGGUAAGGUGGGGAUGACGUGUAACCGAAUCU
rnacentral:misc_RNA from 1 species